GACGAACGCUGGCGGCGUGCCUAAUACAUGCAAGUUGAGCGAUGAAGGUUGGUGCUUGCACCAAUUUGAAGAGCAGCGAACGGGUGAGUAACGCGUGGGUAAUCUGCCUUUGAGCGGGGGACAACAUUUGGAAACGAAUGCUAAUACCGCAUAACACCUUUAAACAUAAGUUUUAAGUUUGAAAGAUGCAAUUGCCUCACUCAAAGAUGAUCCCGCGUUGUAUUAGCUAGUUGGUGAGGUAAAGGCUCACCAAGGCGAUGAUACAUAGCCGACCUGAGAGGGUGAUCGGCCACAUUGGGACUGAGACACGGCCCAAAAUCCUACGGGAGGCAGCAGGAGGGAAUCAUCGGAAAUGGACGAAAGUCUGAACGAGGAAAGCCGCGGGAGUGAAGAAGGGUGUCGGAGCGGAAAACUCUGUUGGUAGAGAAGAACGUUGGUGAGAGUGGAAAGCUCAUCAAGUGACGGUAACUACACAGAAAGGGACGGCUAACUACGUG
rnacentral:rRNA from 1 species